rnacentral:rRNA from 1 species
UGCAGUCGAACGGCAGCGCGGGAGCAAUCCUGGCGGCGAGUGGCGAACGGGUGAGUAAUACAUCGGAACGUGCCCAAUCGUGGGGGAUAACGCAGCGAAAGCUGUGCUAAUACCGCAUACGAUCUACGGAUGAAAGCAGGGGAUCGCAAGACCUUGCGCGAAUGGAGCGGCCGAUGGCAGAUUAGGUAGUUGGUGAGGUAAAGGCUCACCAAGCCUUCGAUCUGUAGCUGGUCUGAGAGGACGACCAGCCACACUGGGACUGAGACACGGCCCAGACUCCUACGGGAGGCAGCAGUGGGGAAUUUUGGACAAUGGGCGAAAGCCUGAUCCAGCCAUGCCGCGUGCAGGAUGAAGGCCUUCGGGUUGUAAACUGCUUUUGUACGGAACGAAACGGCCUUUUCUAAUAAAGAGGGCUAAUGACGGUACCGUAAGAAUAAGCACCGGCUAACUACGUGCCAGCAGCCGCGGUAAUACGUAGGGUGCAAGCGUUAAUCGGAAUUACUGGGCGUAAAGCGUGCGCAGGCGGUAAUGUAAGACAGUUGUGAAAUCCCCGGGCUCAACCUGGGAACUGCAUCUGUGACUGCAUUGCUGGAGUACGGUAGAGGGGGAUGGAAUUCCGCGUGUAGCAGUGAAAUGCGUAGAUAUGCGGAGGAACACCGAUGGCGAAGGCAAUCCCCUGGACCUGUACUGACGCUCAUGCACGAAAGCGUGGGGGAGCAAACAGGAUUAGAUACCCUGGUAGUCCACGCCCUAAACGAUGUCAACUGGGUUGUUGGGUCUUCACUGACUCAGUAACGAAGCUUACGCGUGAAGUUGACCGCCUGGGGGAGUACGGGCCGCAAGGUUGAAACUCCAAGGAAUUUGACGGGGACCCCGCACAAACCGGUGGAUG